UUUUUUUACCCUGGCCUCAUAUUUUGUGUACUACCCUGUAAAUGUUGUAUGCUAUAACUAUGAUUAUGGAUAUUAUGAGGGAGUGGGGGCUUGGGAUUUGGGGGAUGAUUGUUUUCCUCUUUUGAUUUUGCUGUGCCUGUGAGAAAUAAGUGGAAGGAGAGCGGAGUCGGCUUGGAAAAUGGGACUGUCGGGAAGGUUUGACCUAAAAGCAGGAUGGUAUGGUGGGUGGGGGUUUUAACUUUAAGUUAGGUUUACAUUUAAAUCAAUGAAUCAUCAAGUGGGCUUAAGAAUUUAUAUCCAACCUGGCAAAAUUAAUGAAGAAAAUGCAUCCAAACUCUUGCUCCCUUUCCUUUGUAUUUCUUGUGUUAAGGCUUUAAUUUGGAUUAUGUAAAUGGUAAGUCGU
rnacentral:lncRNA from 1 species